rnacentral:rRNA from 1 species
AUUGAACGCUGGCGGCAGGCCUAACACACGCAAGUCGAGCGGAUGAAGGGAGCUUGCUCCUGGAUUCAGCGGCGGACGGGUGAGUAAUGCCUAGGAAUCUGCCUGGUAGUGGGGGAUAACGUUCGGAAACGGGCGCUAAUACCGCAUACGUCCUGAGGGAGAAAGUGGGGGAUCUUCGGACCUCACGCUAUCAGAUGAGCCUAGGUCGGAUUAGCUAGUUGGUGGGGUAAAGGCCUACCAAGGCGACGAUCCGUAACUGGUCUGAGAGGAUGAUCAGUCACACUGGAACUGAGACACGGUCCAGACUCCUACGGGAGGCAGCAGUGGGGAAUAUUGGACAAUGGGCGAAAGCCUGAUCCAGCCAUGCCGCGUGUGUGAAGAAGGUCUUCGGAUUGUAAAGCGCUUUAAGUUGGGAGGAAGGGCAGUAAGUUAAUACCUUGCUGUUUUGACGUUACCAACAGAAUAAGCACCGGCUAACUUCGUG